CUCUCGCUUCUCCGUCAUCAUCAUCAGACACUAAAGUCUCCGAUCGAUCUUCUUCGGUUGAUUUAGUCAAACACUUUACUCUCGAAGAAGAAGAAGAAGAAGAUAGCUUCACAGAUAUUACAGGAAUCCUUGCUUUCUGGAGAGAAAUAAAAGAAGAAGAUUGCCACGCACAAGGAUUAACGAACACAUAAUCAGGUACUGAUGGGGAUGAUGAUUUAAGUAGUGGAAAAUCAAGAAAGUGUGGAGAUGAUGAUAAAGCCAUUUCUCUCAUUCUUCUGAAAUUCCACUCUGCUUCUGCUCAUGGAAAUGGAGGAAGUUUGGUGUGUAGAGAGAGAGAGAGAUGUCGUCUGGGGAUAUGAUAUAAAAUUGACGCUUUUUGGUGGAAAAAAAAUGUUAAAUAAUAAAAGGCAAAAGGGCGUUAAAUAUAUUUAAUUUAAUAAAAAGAAUUUGGUGACAGUUAUUUUUUGUGGUUUGGAUUUCGUUUGCUGUCAUCUUCUGUUUUUUUAUUUGAUUCUGCUUUUCGUCAGUUCGGUAAUUUUCACAGUAUUAU
rnacentral:lncRNA from 1 species